rnacentral:rRNA from 1 species
UUAAAUUGAAGAGUUUGAUCAUGGCUCAGAUUGAACGCUGGCGGCAGGCCUAACACAUGCAAGUCGAGCGGUAGCACAGAGAGCUUGCUCUCGGGUGACGAGCGGCGGACGGGUGAGUAAUGUCUGGGAAACUGCCUGAUGGAGGGGGAUAACUACUGGAAACGGUAGCUAAUACCGCAUAACGUCGCAAGACCAAAGUGGGGGACCUUCGGGCCUCA